AAGAAGCUGGCGAGUAGACUUCUUGGGCUAUGUUCGGUAGAAGACUUCCAUAAAUGUUGGAAGGCACCUUCCGCGGGAUGCUAUCCCACUCGCAGGAGCCGACGGGGUGACCCACAUAGCGAUCAGAACGAACUAGCCCCUCGUUUAUUUUCACCGGUCAGUCUAGGAAAGAGGUACCAGAUUGCGAGCUCUACGGCCAUUAAGAUAAAGACGUAUGAAAGGACUAUGCCCUCCAUGAAGGGCACGACAUGGCGGUCAGCAGAGGCUUAACCGAAGGGCUAAAAAACUCUGCUCAACCACUACAAAAAUUGCGUAAAAAGAACAUAUUCCGAUGAGGGAAUAUAACCUGGCUUGAACCGAGCAAGAGCAAGAUACUCGGCUUAUAGGUCAGUAAGACGUACCAACUUGCCUACUCACUGUACCAUGGGCUCUUAUGCUACCAUUGACAUGCACCCGAAACUGUGCUGCCUUGGCCAAUAGUAAGCUUCUACCCUAUAGCGAGGGACACAUAUAUAUAUAGGAGAGCGACGUGCAAGCGAUUGAUAUUAGGCCCUUUUGCCGGUCUAACUAAAAUGAGUGGGAAUUACGACUAGGACCUAUGGCUUUCAAAGAAAGGGCACUAAAGCGACGAAUGGGGAAACGAAGAUGAAAAGUAUGUUUUUUAUUUUAUAUUCAUUGAUCUUGGACGGAGUCAAAUCUUCGAACUACGGAUGACUUGAUCCCGUAAAGUACGUAAGCAGGCUCGAAAUGAGCUCCAGUCAGCCGCUACGCACCUUUACGCUUCCUCCUCUUCUCCAUGUGGAUUCUUAAAUUGAAACCUUCAAACCCACCUUUCCCUCUUAAAUGGGCGAAUCAGGUUCAGUGCUAAUCUCCUAGUACUAAUAUGUUCACUGAUUACCAGUGUCAUCACCUUUAGGAGUUUUGCAUGAGCUCUUGCUUUGCUUUCUGAGGCCGGCUCUAUUCCCUCUCGCUAUAGACAUGGAAUUGGAACCGAGAAAAGCACUUCGAAGAAGGUUUCACAGCAGUCCUUUAGGCCUCUCUUUUCGGGGCAUUUCUCUCAUAUCUGUUUCGAUGCCUAGUGGUUUUGGAACAAGAGGGGAUUUCUGUUGCUUAGGGGUCAUCCCUUAUUGAAUUGGAAUAAGGGUCGUAUCGCUUUGACCUUUCUCUUCUUUAUUCGCUUUCGUAAGGCACUAUUGGCCUCGCAUUUGUUCUUUUUUCUCUUUCCUCCUCGUCCAUUAAGGAAGGAAGUUGCUUCUUCCAAGAGUGCUUAUUCCACAACAACAGGGGUAAGCCCGAUGGAUAAGGCGUAAACAGUGUCUUCAUGAACAGUGGAUUCGUCUUUUAGACUUGCUCCCAUAAGCGAUGCAAGAGUAAGCGCUGGUACACUAACAGCUCUUGGUCUUAGCUCCCUAAACGUUGUUGAGGAAGCAUCCAAUCCAUUUCCAAUUCACAUGUGUUAAGCAUAGUGACACCAAUCCCUUUGAAUGAAGGAGAUUUUGAUUGCUGCUAGCUAGGGAUUGGGGUA
rnacentral:lncRNA from 1 species